rnacentral:rRNA from 1 species
UACGAAGGGUGCAAGCGUUAAUCGGAAUUACUGGGCGUAAAGGGUGCGUAGGCGGUUGUUUAAGUCUGUCGUGAAAUCCCCGGGCUCAACCUGGGAAUGGCAAUGGAUACUGGCUGGCUAGAGUGUGUCAGAGGAUGGUGGAAUUCCCGGUGUAGCGGUGAAAUGCGUAGAGAUCGGGAGGAACAUCAGUGGCGAAGGCGGCCAUCUGGGACAACACUGACGCUGAAGCACGAAAGCGUGGGGAGCAAACAGG